ensembl:snRNA U4 U4 spliceosomal RNA
UGCUUUGUGCAGUGGCGGUAUCAUAGCCAAUGAGGUUUAUCCGAGGCGUGAUUAUUGCUAAUUGAAGAAAAGACUUUAAGAAAACAAACGUGGCUGUUUUGCUGGUCGGUAACAAUGAAGUCUAUUAAAAGUACUGUAUGUAC